rnacentral:rRNA from 1 species
GCAAGUCGAACGGUAACAGCAGAGCUUGCUCUGGCUGACGCUUGGCGGACGGGUGAGUAAUAAAUAGGAAUCUGCCUAGUAGUGGGGGACAACGUGGUGAAAACCACGCUAAUACCGCAUACGACCUACGGGGGAAAGCGGAGGAUCUUUGGACUUCGCGCUAUUAGAUGAGCCUAUUGCUGAUUAGCUUGUUGGUGAGGUAAUGGCUCACCAAGGCGACGAUCAGUAGCUGGUUUGAGAGAAUGAUC